rnacentral:lncRNA from 10 species
ACUGAAAGAGGGUGCAAUCUUAGAAGGAGCUCAUGUUUCCAGCUUCUUCCCUUGUUUGUUUUAGGGAAUCCAUUAAAUAACACCCCCUUUUCCCCAAUUGAGAAAUACAACACAGAGCUAGGUGAAAAAUCAAAAUACUAGCUUUAUCGCUAGUAAAAUCUAGAAAGGAGGAUAUGGCUAAUAUGUGAGCAUCAUAGGCUUCCUAAUAUUUUCUGAUUUCUGAAAGAAAUGUACCCACAAGCCUCAGGAAGAGCUGAGCAGCCACAGACAUCUCCAUCAUAGGAAGAGGCUAAGCUUAUCAUGUGGUACAGAAGAGGCCAGAGUGCACCUCGGGGUAGACAGAGCUAUAGAGUCAGCAUACUCAGCCCCUGUUAUGGACUGAAUUGUGCCCCCCCCCGCGAUUCAUAUAUUGAAGUUCUAACCCCCAAUAUGGCUGUAGUUGGAGAUAGGGCCUUGAGGAAGGUAAUUAAGAUUAAGUAGUGUCAUAAGGAUGGGGCCCUAAUCUGAUGGAAUUGGUGUCCUUAUAAGAAGAGGAAACAAGAACAGAGAUAGAUUCUCUCCCUGUGUGCAUAGAUGAAAGUUUAUGUAAGUUCACAGUGGGAAUGUGACUGUCUUCAAGUCAGGAAGCGAGGUCUCACCAGAAACCAACCGUGAUGGCACCUUGAUCAUUUUAGCCCCCAGAAAUGUGAGAAAAUCAAUUUCUGUUGACUAAGCCACCCAGUCUGUGGUAUUUUGCUGUGGCAGCCCAAGCAGACUAAUAUAGCUCCUUUUUCUAAAUUCACCAAUUUAUAAAAUCACUAAGUUCACCAGUGGGAAGGAGAGAGGAUAUACACGUGCAUCUGAAGAAAAAUGGCAAUUAUUUAGUUCACAUUUCCCCUUUUGGGGUAUGGAAUGGAAACAGCCUCCCUUUUGUGGAAAUUUGAGGAGAGGAGAACAAGAAUUCCUCCUUAACAUGCUCCCCAUGGGAAUGCUGCCUCUAAUUAUUUCUGACAGGUGGCGUGUCCAGCCUCUGACCCAAAUACCAAGGAACAAAGUCUCCUCCUCCUUAGGCAUCCCACUCCACCUUUGGAGAGCUCAGGGAAAAUUGCCUUCAACAAAAUCUACGCCCUGCAGUGCUCCAACGUAAGCCACAGAAAUCUAGGCUGAAGCUUCUCUCAUUUCACAGAUUUACAGACAUUUAAGGAUACCUGUCUCUUGCCUCCUUAUUCUUCCCUUUCUUGAGUUAAACACACAUGGGUCUCUUAAUAGCACCGAGUGGUCCCCAGGACACUCUAGUGGGUCUCUAGCCAUUGGGUCCUUCUGCGGGGGACCUUAACUCAGUACUCUAGCUCAGUCUGAUUGGACAGGGAUGGAGCAAGUUCUUUGUGCUACUUAGUUACUACACAACCACUGAGGCGAGACUCAGGUGUACUUGCAGCCCCGGACAGGCUGAGUAGCUUCCUUCCAUGCUCUGAACAUAGAGCCCUGUAUGCACUGGUGCCCAGCUGAGGGCUCAUAGGCCCCUGGACAAGCGUCUCAGGAUGACUUAAAACUCAUUUUCAGGUCUGGCUCCUUAUUGCCAGACAUUUCUCUCUGCCACACCAUGUGUGUCUUGCUCUCUGUUCCAUCUGUGGCUCCCUUCCAACAAAGCCUGCCUGGUAUCUGCCUCAGAGUUCGCCCAAAAGAAACUUGGCAUCGAGAUGGUCAACAGAACUACAGGGACCUUCAGCUGGCUGCAUAGGUCAAAGAAUGGAGUCUCUGGUGCAAGAAUGGAGACUCUGGUGCGAGAAUGGAGUCUGGUGCAAGAAUAGAGUUUUUUCAUGCAUCACACACUUAGAUGUAACCUAUAAAACAUUUUAUAUGUUCCACUUUAAUAACAUAUCCAGGUAUUGAGUACAAGGAGUAUGUUUGCCACAGCUCUGACCCUUGCAUCCUAUGUCAUCUGUACAGGAUGGGGAAUGGAAGGAGCUGAGGUUCAGAAUGUGCUUGGUGUGUUACUUCGUUGGUAAUCAAAAGUAGCACAUUUACAUAUUGGCACAUCAAAAUGUUCUUUUUUGUACAUUGCUGCAGGUUAAGAAAGACACAGCAGGACCUGUGUAGAGUCAGAGAAGGGAAAAACAAGUAUAGUCUGAGAAGGAAGGACUUCCACUCCUAAAUAUAUAGCGAAAACCUACUCAUCAUCUUCUGGGUGGACAGAGCCUGGUUUGUAUCACAGGAAGGGAUAUGGGAAUCAUGAUGCUGUCACCAAAUCAGGUAUCUCACAAAGGAUGAUCAGAGGAGGUCUUUGGAAGCUGAGAGGAUAUAGAUGAAUUUUAGAGAAGAUUAAAAUCUUCUCUCUACACAAUGGGAAGAAGUUAGCAGAGGUCUUUUACCUGGAAGAGCUGCACUGGCCAGCAAUUGAAGUGACUAUGCUCCCUUGCAUGUUGAGAAGAUGCAAAGUCAAGUGGCUGGAGAAACAGAACCACAUUUGCUGAGUACCUACAGUGUGCUAGAUGUUCCCCACAUUAUCUUGUGAAUCCUCCAAAUGGUCUUGCGAUGUAGAUAUUAAUUUUCCUGUUUUUAGAGAUGAGCCAACUGGGACUCAGAGCAUUUAAGUAACUUCCUCAAAAUUCCUGUCAGUAUGUAGCAGAGUUAGAGCUCAGUCUUGGGUCUUUCUGAAGUCAAAGCUUGUUUUCUUUUUGCUAAAGUAGCAGUUUUCAGUCCCAUCAGACCCAAGGCCCCUUUUUAUAAUAAAUAUCUUGUAACGUCUUCUUUACUACCCUGAAAAAAAAUCAUUGAAAACUAGUUUCUUUUCUUUUUUUUUCUUUUUUUUUUUUUUUUUGAGAUGGAGUCUCGCUCUGUCACCCAGGCUGGACUGCAGUGGCGUGAUCUCGGCUCACUGCAACCUCUGUCUCCCAGGUUCAAGCGAUUUUUCAGCCUCAGCCUCCCAAGUAGCUGGGACUACAGGUGCGUGCCACCACACCCAGCUAGUUUUUGUUUUUUUAGUAGAUACAGGGUUUCACUAUGUUGGCCAGGCUGGUCUCAACCUCCUGACCUCAUGAUCCGCCUUCCUUGGCCUCCCAAAGUGCUUGGAUUACAGGCAUAAGCCAUCACACCGGGCCUGAAAACUAAUCUUAUGUAUAGUACUUGGGUUUUGUUUGUUCGUUUGUUUUGUUUUUGUUUUUUGAGACAGGGUCUCACUCUGUUGCCCAGACCGGAGUGUAGUGGCAGGAUCAUGGCUCACUGUAGCCUCAACUUCCUGGGCUCAAGAAAUCCUCCCACCUCAGCCUCCCAAGUAGCUGGGGCUACAGGUGCAUACCACCAUGCCUGGCUAAUUUUUAUUUUUUGUGGAAAUGGGAUUUUGCCAUGUUGUCCAGGCUGGUCUCAAACUUCUGAGCUCAAGCGAUCCUCCCACCUCGGUCUCCCAAAGUACUGGGAUUACAGGCAUGAGCCACUGCACCUGGCCUAGUACUUGCUUUUCUUAAAAAAGCAAUAAUAUCUACAUAAAAACUUGUACACAAAUGUUUAUAGUGGCAUUACUCAUAAUAGCUAAAAAGUGGAAACGCCCAAACAUUAUCAACUGGAUGAUGGAUACAUAUAGUCUAUUCAUACAGUGGAAUAUUAUUCAGCAAUAAAAAAUGAAUGAAAUAUUGAUACAUGCUACAACAUAGAAGACUCUUGAAAACAUUAUGUUGAGUGAAUGAAACCAGUCACAAAGAACAAUAUACCAUGUGGUUCAAUUUAUAUGAAAUAUCCAGAAUAGGCAGAUCCAUAGAGAUGGAAAGUAGAUUAGUGGUUGCCUAGAGCUGGGGGAUGGAGGGACUGAGGGUGAAAUCUAAGGAAAGCAGGAUUUUUUUUUUUUUUUUUUGAGACGAAGUCUCACUUUUGUCCCCCAGGCUGGAGUGCAAUGGCACGAUCUCGGCUCACUGGAACCUCUGCCUCCUGGGUUCAAGCGAUUCUCCUGCGUCAGCCUCCCAAGUAGCUGGGAUUACAGGCACCUGCCACCAAGCCCAGCUAAUUUUUGUAUUUUUAGUAGAGACAGGGUUUCACCACGUUGGCCAGGCUAGUCUUGAACUCCUGACCUCAGGUGAUCUGCCUACCUCGGUCCCCCAUAGUGCUGUGAUACAGGUGUGAGCCACCGCGCCCGGCUGACCGAGCAGGAUUUUUUUGAAGGGUGUAAUGAAAGGAUUCUAAAACUGAUUGUGGUAAUGGAUGCACAAUUGUGACUAUACUAAAAACCAUUGAGUUGUAUACUUUAAGUGGGUAAAUUGUAUGGUGUGUGAAUUAUAUCUCAAUAAAGUACUUUUUAAAAAGCAAUAAAAUAAUGUCUUGGC